UGAGGAAUAUUGGUCAAUGGGCGAGAGCCUGAACCAGCCAAGUAGCGUGCAGGAUGACGGCCCUAUGGGUUGUAAACUGCUUUUAUAUGGGAAUAAAGUGAGGGACGUGUCCCUUAUUGCAUGUACCAUAUGAAUAAGGACCGGCUAAUUCCGUGCCAGCAGCCGCGGUAAUACGGAAGGUCCAGGCGUUAUCCGGAUUUAUUGGGUUUAAAGGGAGCGUAGGCUGUCUAUUAAGCGUGUUGUGAAAUUUACCGGCUCAACCGGUGGCUUGCAGCGCGAACUGGUCGACUUGAGUAUGCAGGAAGUAGGCGGAAUUCAUGGUGUAGCGGUGAAAUGCUUAGAUAUCAUGACGAACUCCGAUUGCGCAGGCAGCUUACUGUGGCCUAACUGACGCUGAUGCUCGAAAGUGCGGGUAUCAAACAGG
rnacentral:rRNA from 1 species